UUCCAGCGCUACGCGCCGGGUUCGUAUAUUUUGGUAUCUAAUAAGUUAAAGAGGGUUUGUUUGAUCCAUUUGAUAGAGGUUAGUGGUAGUAGUAUAGAAAUGAUGCAUUUGAUCUAUUUUAAUAUGUGUGUAUGACGUUGUGAGAAAGAAUAUAUUUUCGAGCUAUGGAAAACAAUUAUUUUCCAAAAUUAUUAGCAAAUGUCAAAAUUAUUAGCAAAUUCCAUAAUUGUAAUUCUCGAAGCAUUCAGUGCACGUAUCACUUUCUUCUUCCACAGUUGGAUUGGAGGUCUAUUAGUUCCUUCAAGAUCGGUGAAGAUAAGUUUGAUAUCUAGUAAAAUAUGAGGGUUACGGGUCGUAGCUAUGUCAUAUAUAUGUUGGAGGGUGGGGGUUUCUUGUUCUAUCAGUUUGUUUUAAGGACUACUCACGUCGAGUAAAUGUUUUUUUGUUGAAUUGACUGUUCUUUUUAUUAAUAGUGUUUUUAAGUAGCUUUUAUAUAUUAUCAUUUGAGAUACAGCUCGAUGAGGGUUGGUGUUGUAUUGGUUUAUUUGGCUGUCCAUAAUCUAUGUGGAUUGUUACUGGAUGGUUAAUUUUAUAUGUAGUACAGUAUUUGUUUUUAAGUAAAACUAUUG
rnacentral:lncRNA from 1 species